rnacentral:piRNA from 1 species
CUCUCUAAUGGGGAACAAAAUUGGAUGAGC